rnacentral:rRNA from 1 species
UACAGAGGUCUCAAGCGUUGUUCGGAUUCAUUGGGCGUAAAGGGUGCGUAGGCGGCGCGGUAAGUCGGGUGUGAAAUCUCGGAGCUUAACUCCGAAACUGCAUUCGAUACUGUCGUGCUUGAGGACUGGAGAGGAGACUGGAAUUUACGGUGUAGCGGUGAAAUGCGUAGAUAUGCGGAGGAACACCGAUGGCGAAGGCAAUCCCCUGGGCCUGCACUGACGCUCAUGCACGAAAGCGUGGGGAGCAAACAGG